rnacentral:rRNA from 1 species
ACCAUCCUACGGGGCGCAGCAGUGGGGAAUAUUGGGCAAUGGGCGCAAGCCUGACCCAGCAACGCCGCGUGAAGGAAGAAGGCUUUCGGGUUGUAAACUUCUUUUCUCGGGGACGAAGCAAGUGACGGUACCUGAGGAAUAAGCCACGGCUAACUACGUGCCAGCAGCCGCGGUAAUACGUAGGUGGCAAGCGUUAUCCGGAUUUACUGGGUGUAAAGGGCGUGUAGGCGGGG